rnacentral:lncRNA from 1 species
AGGGAGAGGGGAGGCGCUGGGAUUGGAAGCUUCAGCCACACUCACCUCCCCCUGCCCCGCGGCUCUCACAGAGAGGGCGGGGAGGGGGAUGAGAACGCCACCCAGCUGACCUCCUUGUUUCCUGUUCCCAGUGUCCUGCCAAGACGGGUCACUGACCUCUCCCCACAGCCUCUGCCAGCCGGGAGGAGGAACACAUAUAGGAGUGAGUAGAAUCCAACCCACCGUCUUCCUGUUCCCUCCCCCUCCCCUGGCUAACGAUGCUUCUAGUUUCCAGAACCCAGGGGGAGGUGUAAGGUCGAGACUUGCUGCCUGCCAGAGAGGGAGGAGAGUGUGGGCCCCCUUGGCACAGCUGUGGUUGAGAGUGCAAUGCCCCAGUGACACAGGGCGGGUCCCACUGCAGUGCAGCUGAAGGUGGUGGGUACACUGACUCCAGGACAAGGAAGUUAAGAACUGGGGCUCUGGAUUCCCCAGGUAAAAGCACCAGAUGGAGAAGCUUGCCUUCCCCUUACCACCUCCACCCAACCCAGCUCUGGCCACAUGGCCUUCUCCCGCUGGCCUGCUGAGGCUGGUCUCUGUAGCCCAGAUGUGUCAUGGGGACCUGGGGAACCCACUUACCGGAACUUUGUGCAUCAGGGCCAUCUCAGUGGGCUGGUACACACUGGUCAGCAGCUGCCCGUUGUACCCACUGUAUGGUGACACCGGCCUCUUAGCUACAAGGAAAAGCAGGAACAGUUUGAAGAUCCCAGGGCUCUCAGCUCCCUUCCCCACCUCCCACAAGCCAAGCAAGGCUCUCUGGGGGCAGGGAAGAGGUAAAGGGGGCAGGCCAACCCUGGCAUAGUCUCUAACCCAGGA